rnacentral:tRNA from 1 species
GUGCGUGUAGUAUAACCCAAUACAAUGGCCCUUCACUCCAUAAAUUUGAUACCUCCAUCAACUCGCACA